AUUGAACGCUGGCGGCAGGCCUAACACAUGCAAGUCGAGCGAGCGGCGGACGGGUGAGUAAUGUAUGGGGACUGCCCGAUAGAGGGGGAUAACUACUGGAAACGGUGGCUAAUACCGCAUACUAUCGGAUAACCCAUAUGGGAGUAGCCAGUAGGUGGGGUAAAGGCUUACCUAGGCGACGAGCUCUAGCUGGUCUGAGAGGAUGAUCAGCCACACGGGGACUGAGACACGGUCCAGACUCCUACGGAGGCAGCAGUAGGGAAUAUUGCACAAUGGGCGCAAGCCUGAUGCAGCCAUGCCGCGUGGAUGAAGAAGGCCUUAGGGUUGUAAAGUACUUUCAGCGGGGAAGCGUUACCCGCAGAAGAAGCACCGGCUAACUCCGUGCCAGCCGCCGCGGUAAUUC
rnacentral:rRNA from 1 species